CCUACGGGUGGCAGCAGUCGAGAAUCAUUCACAAUGGGGGAAACCCUGAUGGUGCGACGCCGCGUGGGGGAAUGAAGGUCUUCGGAUUGUAAACCCCUGUCAUGUGGGAGUAAAUUAAAAAGAUAGUACUACAAGAGGAAGAGAUGGCUAAUUCUGUGCCAGCAGCCGCGGUAAUACAGAGGUCUCAAGCGUUGUUCGGAAUCACUGGGCGUAAAGCGUGCGUAGGCUGUUUCGUAAGUCGUGUGUGAAAGGCGCGGGCUCAACCCGCGGACGGCACAUGAUACUGCGAGACUAGAGUACUGGAGGGGGAGCCGGAAUUCUCGGUGUAGCAGUGAAAUGCGUAGAUAUCGAGAGGAACACUCGUGGCGAAGGCAGGUUCCUGGACAUUAACUGACGCUGAGGCACGAAGGCCAGGGGAGCGAAAGGGAUUAGAUACCCCUGUAGUC
rnacentral:rRNA from 1 species